GCUUCCUUGCAGAUCUUGGUGGGCUAUAUUGCAUUAGUAUGAUGCUAUUUUUUUAUCUCUUGGUGCAAGUUGAGAAAAGAAAAUGAAUCCCAUGUAUAAUGUGUUCAACAUUCCUAUAUGAUCUGCUUGGUUUGCACUUUGUAGUGUGAGUUCAGAAUAAAAUGGCUCCGCAAUGAAGAUAGCAUUUUACGGAAUAUCAGAAGUAGAAGAAAAGCUCAAGAACACUGGGAUAAAGUGAGAAACUACAUCAUGUACACGUGGAAUUGCAGAACAUUGGAUGUUGACGACCACUCUAAAACGGAACCGGUUGUGGUCAUUUCAUGCUUCCGUCGGUCCAUGGUAAUGGAUCAGUUCGUGGAGGUGGGUCAUUGAGGAAGCGAAGGCAGUUAAGUAGUAUUGACCUAAGUUUUCGCAAGCAAGUCAGCAGUGAAAAGGCCCUCAAAUGAGAUAUAUCUGGAUCUGCUAAGGACAGGAUAAAACAUUGCAUUGGUUCAAAUGAUGGAGUUGCUGUCCAGCAUCAAGCAUUCCCUGUUGGUGGAGAUAUCAUUCCCCCACCACCGCGACUAGAACUGAAGUCCGGUUCAGAGAUCGAGUUGUCUGAUAUACAGAAGAAUUUCCAACGUUUGUACGACUACAAUGUCAUGCUGAGAGAGGAGUUCAUAGCCUCCCAGACAUUGCUUCGCGAUUUGACUGCUAAGACUCCUCCGGGAACAGAAAGGCAAACAUGAUAUUGCUGAGUAUAUCCAAUUCUUUUCGGACAUUUUCUUGUUAAAGUGAAAGGGGUGUUUCAGUUAAUUCCAAUCGGUUUCAUGCAAUCACCCUUAGGAAGCUGCAGCAUUCAACAGUUUACCCUUCAGAU